ACCCAGCGUUAGGGAUUGCAGCGGAAAACCCACAGCGCGGGUAGCCUUCGUGGUAUAGCCAAGGCGAGGAUUUGCAGCGUAAAGCCCGGGCCGCA
rnacentral:misc_RNA from 1 species